UACGGAUGGUCCUAGCGUUGUUCGGAAUUACUGGGCGUAAAGCGCACGUAGGCGGCUUUGUAAGUUAGAGGUGAAAGCCCAGGGCUUAACCCUGGAAUUGCCUUUAAGACUGCAUCGCUAGAAUCGUGGAGAGGUGAGUGGAAUUCCGAGUGUAGAGGUGAAAUUCGUAGAUAUUCGGAAGAACACCAGUGGCGAAGGCGACUCACUGGACACGUAUUGACGCUGAGGCGCGAAAGCGUGGGGAGCAAACAGG
rnacentral:rRNA from 1 species